UCUUUUCAGCUGAAGAUAAAAUUAUUCCCACUUUUCUGAGCUCCCGUACGUGUUAUGAUGUGAUGCCAGUCAGUGGUAAAGUUGUUGUACUGUCUGUUGAGCUUUUGGUAAAAAAUGCAUUCGAGGCUCUUGUAAAUAAUGAACUCAGAGCUGCCCCUUUAUGG